AGUCGUAACAAGGUCUCCGUUGGUGAACCAGCGGAGGGAUCAUUACAGAGUGUAAAAACUCCCAAACCCCUGUGAACUUACCAGUCGUUGCUUCGGCGGGAUCGCCCCGGGCGCCAUCGCGUGCCCCGGAACCAGGCGCCCGCCGGGGGACUCAAACUCUUGUUUUACUUUAGUGGUAUUCUCUGAGUGGCUAUAUGCAAACAAAUGAAUCAAAACUUUCAACAACGGAUCUCUUGGUUCUGGCAUCGAUGAAGAACGCAGCGAAAUGCGAUAAGUAAUGUGAAUUGCAGAAUUCAGUGAAUCAUCGAAUCUUUGAACGCACAUUGCGCCCGCUAGUAUUCUGGCGGGCAUGCCUGUCUGAGCGUCAUUUCACCAAUCCCCCUGGGCUUCUUGUCCCGGGGGCUGUUGGGGAUCGCCGAGCGUCCACUCGGCGUCCCCUAAACCUAGUGGCAGCCUCGCCGCGGCCUCCCCUGCGUAGUAAAACACUCUCGCAGGCGGAACCACAGCGAAGGGUCGCCGUAAAACCCCCAACUUCUUAAUGGUUGACCUCAGAUCAGGUAGGAAUACCCGCUGAACUUAAGCAUAUCAAUAAGCGGAGGA
rnacentral:misc_RNA from 1 species